CUACGGGGGGCAGCAGGGAAUAUUGGUCAAUGGACGCAAGUCUGAACCAGCCAUGCCGCGUGCAGGAUGACGGCCCUCUGGGUUGUAAACUGCUUUUAUAUGGGAAGAAACCCCGGGAUGCGUUCCGGGCUGACGGUACCAUACGAAUAAGGAUCGGCUAACUUCGUGCCAGCAGCCGCGGUAAGACGAAGGAUCCAAGCGUUGUCCGGAUUUACUGGGUUUAAAGGGUGCGUAGGCGGAUGCUUAAGCCAGUGGUGAAAUCUCUCAGCUCAACUGAGAAACUGCCAUUGGAACUGGGCAUCUUGAAUUCGAUUGAGGUAGAUGGAAUAUAACAUGUAGCGGUGAAAUGCUUAGAUAUGUUAUGGAACACCGAUUGCGAAGGCAGUCUACUAAGUCGAUAUUGACGCUGAGGCACGAAAGCGUGGGUAGCGAACAGGAUUAGAUACCCUCGUAGUC
rnacentral:rRNA from 1 species